AGAGUUUGAUCAUGGCUCAGGACGAACGCUGGCGGCGUGCCUAACACAUGCAAGUCGAACGAGUGGAUCUCCUUCGGGAGAGAAGCUAGCGGCGGACGGGUGAGUAACACGUGGGCAACCUGCCUCAUAGAGGGGAAUAGCCUCCCGAAAGGGAGAUUAAUACCGCAUAAGAUUGUAGCUUCGCAUGAAGUAGCAAUUAAAGGAGCAAUCCGCUAUGAGAUGGGCCCGCGGCGCAUUAGCUAGUUGGUGGGGUAACGGCUCACCAAGGCGACGAUGCGUAGCCGACCUGAGAGGGUGAUCGGCCACAUUGGGACUGAGACACGGCCCAGACUCCUACGGGAGGCAGCAGUGGGGAAUAUUGCACAAUGGGGGAAACCCUGAUGCAGCAACGCCGCGUGAGUGAUGACGGCCUUCGGGUUGUAAAGCUCUGUCUUCAGGGACGAUAAUGACGGUACCUGAGGAGGAAGCCACGGCUAACUACGUGCCAGCAGCCGCAGUAAUACGUAGGUGGCGAGCGUUGUCCGGAUUUACUGGGCGUAAAGGGAGCGUAGGCGGACUUUUAAGUGAGAUGUGAAAUACCCGGGCUCAACUUGGGUGCUGCAUUUCAAACUGGAAGUCUAGAGUGCAGGAGAGGAGAAUGGAAUUCCUAGUGUAGCGGUGAAAUGCGUAGAGAUUAGGAAGAACACCAGUGGCGAAGGCGAUUCUCUGGACUGUAACUGACGCUGAGGCUCGAAAGCGUGGGGAGCAAACAGGAUUAGAUACCCUGUAGUCCACGCCGUAAACGAUGAAUACUAGGUGUAGGGGUUGUCAUGACCUCUGUGCCGCCGCUAACGCAUUAAGUAUUCCGCCUGGGGAGUACGGUCGCAAGAUUAAAACUCAAAGGAAUUGACGG
rnacentral:rRNA from 1 species